ncrna:unclassified sequences RAGATH-10 RNA
GAAACCUCGUCUUGCUUACACGCCAUCCGGGCGUCGAGCAGUGUUUUUAUAAAACACGGACAUUCCGUCCGGGUGAGGAGAGAGA